rnacentral:rRNA from 1 species
CAACCAUUACGCCAGCAUCCUAGCCGAAGCGCGGACCUCAGUCCCGGCUGGCCGUAUUACACCCUGGGCUAUAACACCUCCACCGAAGUGGAGGCCACAUUCCCAGAGCCUUUAUCCGGCCGCCGAAACUGAUGCUGGCCUGUCCAAACUGAGUAAACCGGUCAGAAGACCGGCCGAACAGUUUAAACAAGUCUGAUUGCAAGCGCUUCCCUUUCAACAAUUUCACGUGCUUUUUAACUCUCUUUCCAAAGUGCUUUUCAUCUUUCGAUCACUCUACUUGUGCGCUAUCGGUCUCUCGCCAAUAUUUAGCUUUAGAAGAAAUUUACCUCCCAUUUAGAGCUGCAUUCCCAAACAACUCGACUCGUCGAAGGAGAUUUACAUAGGGUGCCAUUUCCUGUCACAUACGGGAUUCUCACCCUCUAUGACGUCCUGUUCCAAGGAACUUAGACAGGCGGCUUCCCCAAAUCAUCCUCUACAAAUUACAAUGCGAACCCGAAGGCUAGCUUUCAAAUUUGAGCUGUUGCCGCUUCACUCGCCGUUACUAGGGCAAUCCC